CCGAUGCCUGGCACCCGUCAAGAGCACUCGGAGAGGACACUUCUACGCAGGCCGGGAGUCCCCCACGAUCGCUUUGUAGCAUGCGCUUCGUGCUAGCAGUCCUGUGGGCUUGGACCCCGCAGCUGUACCAUCUUUCCAAUGGAAAGUUCAUUACGGAGAUUGUGCCCGUAGAUGUGCGCGGUGACUGCUGGUACGACGAAACAACGGUUGACCAUGGUAGAUAUUUCAACCUCGACACUCCAUGCGAAGAAUGGUACUGCCGGGGCGCGACAAAUGAAACUCACGGCACGCUAGUUCGUAAAACUUGCACGUUGCCUGACCUACCAAGUCACUGCAGGCUAGCGAGAGGCAGAGGCCGGCGUUUCCCCCAUUGUUGCCCGCGUAGAGUCUGUCGCUUUGACGAUUGGUCCGAUGAAGAUAUGAAGACUGACAUCGAAACGCAGUACUUUGGAAUGCGGGGAAUCUAGGCAACGGAAAAUGAGAUACAAGAUCAACAGAGUUGUGAUGGAACGUGUCAAUAAACUAUUCU